CAACUGUGCGAAGCAUGGCGAAUUGCAGGGCUUCAUGAAACCGCUACUUGUCGAACGCAUAUUGCGGCCCUGGCUCACGGGUCAGGGCCACAUCCACCUGAGGGUCGAAGAGUCUCGUUGCUCCUCGGAGCGAUUGUCCACUGGCCGGCGAAAAGUCGGGCUUUGGACUGAAUGAUUUUUACUUCGAGGCCUUGACGAUCUUUCGGUCUCGGGGCUCUGGGAACUGCUCCUAUCAGUUGCCUGUUGGUGGCUGCGGAGUUGGUCUGAUUUCUAAACCAACCCGCGCUGCCUUCGGGUCUGGGGCGGAGUCCCAUGGGUUCUGAGCCAGAGUAAAGUCUCGUGUCCUCAUCUCUCUUUUUGACCUCAGGUUGGGUGAGGUUACCCGCCGAAUUUAA
rnacentral:misc_RNA from 1 species